rnacentral:rRNA from 1 species
GUGUCAGCAGCCGCGGUAAGACGUAGGGGACGAGCGUUGUCCGGAUUUAUUGGGCGUAAAGCGCGCGUAGGCGGUUUGGUAAGUCGGAUGUGAAAUCCCGUGGCUCAACCGCGGGACUGCAUCCGAUACUGCCCGACUAGAGGUAGGUAGGGGAGAUCGGAAUUCCUGGUGUAGCGGUGAAAUGCGCAGAUAUCAGGAGGAACACCGGUGGCGAAGGCGGAUCUCUGGGCCUUACCUGACGCUGAGGCGCGAAAGCUAGGGGAGCGAACAGGAUUAGAUACCCUGGUAGUCCUAGCCGUAAACGUUGGGUGCUAGGUGUGGGGGGACAUCGACCCCCUCCGUGCCGAAGCUAACGCAUUAAGCACCCCGCCUGGGGAGUACGGCCGCAAGGCUAAA